rnacentral:misc_RNA from 1 species
UCCGAGUUGACCCCGGCAGUCUCCUAUGAGUCCCCGCCAUCACGCGCUGGCAACAUAGAACGAGGGUUGCGCUCGUUGCGGGACUUAACCCAACAUCUCACGACACGAGCUGACGACAACCAUGCACCACCUGUGUACAGGCCCCGAAGGGCUGCCGGGUUUCCCCGACAUUCCUGUGCAUGUCAAGCCCAGGUAAGGUUCUUCGCGUUGCGUCGAAUUAAACCACAUGCUCCGCUGCUUGUGCGGGCCCCCGUCAAUAGGGACCCACACCUAGUGCCCAACGUUUACGGCGUGGACUAC